GACCAAGGAGUCUAACAUGUAUGCGAGUCAUUGAGAAUGUAAAACUCAAAGGCAUAAUGAAAGUGAAGAUCCGUCUUGCACGGAUUGAGGAGAGAUCAUGGCAAUACUGGGCAUUCCUAAAGGUUUGCUCGGUACUUUGUAUGCGCAUCUCCUGGACGUCUAUACCUCUGAAGGUGGGGCGUACCUAGAGCAUACACGUUGGGACCCGAAAGAUGGUGAACUAUGCCUGGUCAGAACGAAGUCAGGGGAAACCCUGAUGGAGGUUCGUAGCGAUUCUGACGUGCAAAUCGAUCGUCGGAACUGGGUAUAGGGGCGAAAGACUAAUCGAACCAUCUAGUAGCUGGUUCCCUCCGAAGUUUCCCUCAGGAUAGCUGGCGCUUGAAAACCAGUCUCAUCCGGUAAAGCGAAUGAUUAGAGGCCUUGGGGCCGAAACGACCUCAACCUAUUCUCAAACUUUAAAUGGGUGAGAAGUCUGGCUUGCUUGAUCGAAGCUCGGACAUUUAAUUGGAUGGUGAGUGCCAAGUGGGCCACUCUUGGUAAGCAGGACUGGCGCUGUGGGAUGAACCAAACGCCGGGUUAAGGCGCCCGAAUCGACGCUCAUGAGAUCCCAUAAAAGGCGUUGGUUGCUUAAGACAGCAGGACGGUGGCCAUGGAAGUCGGAAUCCGCUAAGGAGUGUGUAACAACUCACCUGCCGAAGCAACUAGCCCUGAAAAUGGAUGGCGCUGAAGCGUCGUGCCCAUACCCGGCCGUUGAGUCACAGAGGUAACCUUGUGUUAUUCGCGAGGACUCAACGAGUAGGAGGGUCGUGGCGGUGUGCGUAGAAGGGUCUGGGCGUGGGCCUAC
rnacentral:rRNA from 1 species